rnacentral:rRNA from 1 species
GACGAACGCUGGCGGCGUGCUUAACACAUGCAAGUCGAACGGAAAGGCCCCUUUUGGGGUCCUCGAGUGGCGAACGGGUGAGUAACACGUGAGUAACCUGCCCUUGACUUCGGGAUAACUUCAUGAAACUGGGGCUAAUACCGGCUAGGAAUCCUUGCUGCAUGGUGGGGGUUGGAAAGCUUCGGCGGUUUUGGAUGGACUCGCGGCUUAUCAGCUUGUUGGUGGGGUAGUGGCUUACCAAGGCUUUGACGGGUAGCCGGCCUGAGAGGGCGAACGGCCAAAGUGGGACUGGGAUAAGGCCCAGACUCCUACGGGGGGAAGCAGUGGGGAAUAUUGAACAAAGGGCGGAAGCCUGAUGCAGCAACGCCGCGUGCGGGAUGACGGCCUUCGGGUUGGAAAACGCUUUCAGCAGGGGCGAAGCUUGUGGUGACGGUACCUGCAGAAGAAGCACCGGCUAACUACGUG